rnacentral:rRNA from 1 species
UGGGUUAAGAACGUCGUGAGACAGUUCGGUCUCUUUCCACAACGAGCGUUUGGCUUUGAGAGGACUCAUUCCUAGUACGAGAGGACCGGAAUGACAGAACCUCUAGUGUACCAGUUGUUCUACCAAGGGCAUUGCUGGGUAGCUACGUCCUGACUUGAUAAGUGCUGAAAGCAUCUAAGCACGAAGCAAACCUCAAGAUUAGAGCCGUUCCGCUUUAAGCGGACACAAUUCCUGGGAGACUACCAGGUUGAUAGGCCGUAGGUGUAAGCACAGCAAUGUGUUCAGCCAAGCGGUACUAAUUAUUUGUGAAUCUUUAGUACA